rnacentral:rRNA from 1 species
CCUACGGGUGGCAGCAGUGGGGAAUAUUGGACAAUGGGCGAAAGCCUGAUCCAGCCAUGCCGCGUGUGUGAAGAAGGCCUUCGGGUUGUAAAGCACUUUCAGUGGGGAAGAAAGCCUUGGGGCUAAUACCCUCGAGGAAGGACAUCACCCACAGAAGAAGCACCGGCUAACUCCGUGCCAGCAGCCGCGGUAAUACGGAGGGUGCGAGCGUUAAUCGGAAUUACUGGGCGUAAAGCGCGCGUAGGCGGUCUGAUAAGCCGGUUGUGAAAGCCCCGGGCUCAACCUGGGAACGGCAUCCGGAACUGUCAGGCUAGAGUGCAGGAGAGGAAGGUAGAAUUCCCGGUGUAGCGGUGAAAGGCGUAGAGAUCGGGAGGAAUACCAGUGGCGAAGGCGGCCUUCUGGACUGACACUGACGCUGAGGUGCGAAAGCGUGGGUAGCAAACAGGAUUAGAUACCCCAGUAGUC